AACACUGUUAACCUGCGGUACCUGCGGAAGGAUCAUUACAGAGUUGCAAAACUCCCUAAACCAUUGUGAACGUUACCUAAACCGUUGCUUCGGCGGGCGGCCCGGGUCCUUCCCGGCGCCCCUCGGCCCUCGCGGGCGCCCGCCGGAGGUAAACCAAACUAUUGCAUUGUAUGGCCUCUCUGAGUCUUCUGUACUGAAUAAGUCAAAACUUUUAGCAACGGAUCUCAGAUCGGAAGAGCA
rnacentral:misc_RNA from 1 species